rnacentral:rRNA from 1 species
AUUGAACGCUGGCGGCAGGCCUAACACAUGCAAGUCGAGCGGAUGACGGGAGCUUGCUCCUUGAUUCAGCGGCGGACGGGUGAGUAAUGCCUAGGAGUCUGCCUGGUAGUGGGGGACAACGUUUCGAAAGGAACGCUAAUACCGCAUACGUCCUACGGGAGAAAGCAGGGGACCUUCGGGCCUUGCGCUAUCAGAUGAGCCUAGGUCGGAUUAGCUAGUAGGUGAGGUAAAGGCUCACCUAGGCGACGAUCCGUAACUGGUCUGAGAGGAUGAUCAGUCACACUGGAACUGAGACACGGUCCAGACUCCUACGGGAGGCAGCAGUGGGGAAUAUUGGACAAUGGGCGAAAGCCUGAUCCAGCCAUGCCGCGUGUGUGAAGAAGGUCUUCGGAUUGUAAAGCACUUUAAGUUGGGAGGAAGGGCAGUAAGCUAAUACCUUGCUGUUUUGACGUUACCGACAGAAUAAGCACCGGCUAACUCUGUGCCAGCAGCCGCCGUAAGAC